rnacentral:rRNA from 1 species
AACGAACGCUGGCGGCAUGCCUAACACAUGCAAGUCGAACGAUCCCUUCGGGGAUAGUGGCGCACGGGUGCGUAACGCGUGGGAACCUGCCCUUAGGUUCGGAAUAACUCAGAGAAAUUUGAGCUAAUACCGGAUAAUGUCUUCGGACCAAAGAUUUAUCGCCUUUGGAUGGGCCCGCGUUGGAUUAGCUAGUUGGUGGGGUAAAAGCCUACCAAGGCGACGAUCCAUAGCUGGUCUGAGAGGAUGAUCAGCCACACUGGGACUGAGACACGGCCCAGACUCCUACGCGAGGCAGCAGUGGGGAAUAUUGGACAAUGGGCGAAAGCCUGAUCCAGCAAUGCCGCGUGAGUGAUGAAGGCCUUAGGGUUGUAAAGCUCUUUUACCCGGGAUGAUAAUGACAGUACCGGGAGAAUAAGCCCCGGCUAACUCCGUG